UAUUGGACAAUGGGGGGAACCCUGAUCCAGCGACGCCGCGUGAGUGAAGAAGUAUUUCGGUAUGUAAAGCUCUGUCAGCAGGGAAGAAAGAAAUGACGGUACCUGACUAAGAAGCCCCGGCUAAAUACGUGCCAGCAGCCGCGGUAAUACGUAUGGGGCAAGCGUUAUCCGGAUUUACUGGGUGUAAAGGGAGCGCAGGCGGCGCGGCAAGUCAGAUGUGAAAGCCCGGGGCUCAACCCCGGGACUGCAUUUGAGACUGCCGUGCUGGAGUGUCGGAGAGGCAAGUGGAAUUCCUAGUGUAGCGGUGAAAUGCGUAGAUAUUAGGAGGAACACCAGUGGCGAAGGCGGCUUGCUGGACGAUAACUGACGCUGAGGCUCGAAAGCGUGGGGAGCAAACAGG
rnacentral:rRNA from 1 species